rnacentral:lncRNA from 1 species
GCAACAUCUGAUGGUAAGCAAUUAAGUCGAGAAUGGAUAGAUUCGAGAACUAAUGGAACGAAUUGUGGGGAAAGUGCUACUUUUACAGGACUUCUGAAAGUAUAUGUGGGUGCAUGGAGCGGAAUGAAAAUAUUUUGCAAGUACAGGAAGAAGAAAGGAUACACGGCGAGAGAAACACCUUGUGAAAUUGUGAUGUCAGAACAAAUGGAAUGUAUGUUUCCUUGUAUGUCUAUCUCGGGCCACUUAAUGGAGCUACAAUUAAUUGGCCAUGAGCAGAGCAACAUUCGUUUCUCUCAGCUCUCUACUGACUCUAGAAAUGUUGUGCAAAACUGGUUUUGUUCAGCAAGGACAUGCAUCACAAGGUACCAAAAUACCAAGCAUCUAGUCCUCCAAGUGGCUCACGGAAAUAUCCAUGUGGUGCAAAGUAAAGAUCUAUUCUCUAGAGAUGCGUUUGGUUUGUUUGUGCAUCAGUUGAACACUCGGUUUUAGUGGAGAAGUUACUGGACGUUCCCUGUGUGGUAUGGCGCACAAGCUGCCUGAUGCUUGAAACUGAAGGAUCACAGUGUUGGCCAAUUUUUCAGCUUAAUUCCCCACGACAUUCUCCAAUUCAUGACCGGAAUGUUCGUACACUAGUGCUUGGUAAAGGAAUAUCACCCAACGAUGAACAAUUUACCUCCAUUGCACCUGCUAGUCGAUCCAUAGUAAUACACUGGGAAGCCAUUGUGCAUAUGGGGCUAUAUCUUGAGCAGGCAUUUCCCACACACACAGUGGAGUCCUUGAUUAUGGCCAUGCUACAACAACAUAUCAGCAAGAAUCCCGUUGAGCUAUCUAGCCUCAAUGGCAGUCCAACAAAUUUGCUUCUCAUUGAUUUUGUUGAUAUGCUGGGCUCUGACCUACAUCGCUACCAGCUGGGCAUGUCUUGGGAUCCUGGAGGCCUUAGAUUGUUGUUGCUAAGGAAAUUGACUCGACGGGAGGUAUUUCAGAAAGGGAGGUGUGCCACCUUGGUUGCCCGCUGUCUUGUCACCUUCCCAACUUCUACUUUUUGGUCGUCGACAAUUAUGAUGGUGGAGGUGAUUAACAAGAGAGCACAUGCCACGAGGGAUAUAGUACCCUCUACCGGCUACGAUCAACAACGUUCUCAAGGAGGGAGGGGUGUCAUCGCUAUCGCUGCCUGCUUCACACAAGGCUCCGUCGACCGCAAGUACUCCAUCAGCUUCCACAAUGACCACUUCCUCGACAGUUCAUCCGACUGGCUCGCCAUAGUCCAUGACUACUACUCCCAUGUCAUUCAAGGCACCCCACCUUCUGCUACCGCCGUGACUUCGAGCAAGUAAACGAACAUCGAGUGCAAUGGGACCCGGGCGGUUCUUGGCGAUGCCGGCUUGGGGUCAAGCCGGAUUUCAGGGAGGAAGGGAUGUUAGGAGCCCUCUGAACCUGUACGCGCACAGGGCCUACCCCUUGGGCCAGCCCAUGGACUUGGCCCAUUCGAGACUCAUCGCUCCAGCUACUUAAGCCCGGUGCUCAAAAGGAGAGGGCAUCCAGUGGAUCACCGAAGAAACCGGCGGCGGCUACCUCCUCCCCUUUCUCUGUUCUUCUCCUACCUUGUCUUCCUCUGUUUCUGUAAUCAAAUUUGUAUGUAAUCGAAGCUUGUAACUCAAAUUAGUGAGAGAUAGUAGUAGAUCGAGUGAUCCCCAACUUGUCCCUUACAUCUGAUAUACAGAGCCAGGUUCCACCCUUCCCCUUCAAUUUUUUCUCCCAAUUCCUACAAUUCCACCGAUGACAACACCAUGCCCGCCGUCAAACCACCAGAGUGGGAUGCCAUGUCCGCCAAGGAGCAGCUGUUGUGGUAUCUCGAGAGGUUAUGCGCUUAGGCAGACGAGAUGUGCUCAGCGUUGGGUAUUGCACGAGUGGGUGACCCUCCCGUGGUCACCUCGCUUGUCGAUCCGGCAGCCUCAACCACAACGCAUGCCUCACCUAUGCCCGUCCCCGACAUCCCCGGCUACACCACCAAGGCUCAGGAAGUGCUCGAGGUCAUCCACGAUGCGCCCCCUGCUUGCAUCGCGAUGGCGCACAUCACCUGUUCGAAGGAUGACUCAAACCAAGUUGUUGCCACCAACAGCGUCAACAAGGUCACCACCAUCUACCCCGAGCCCGUCAUCCACCUCGGCGACAAGAAUGUGGAUCAGCUCACUAACUCAGCCGUGAGUGCGGAGUUCCUUGUUGUGGUGACCGCCACGGUAGUGUCUUCCAACCCGGGCAAGUACGCAACGGUCGAGGCCCCUCCCGAUGUCCUCACCACACCUGCAGUACCUACCAGCGUUUCCUCAUCCACCACAAAGGCCAAGGAGGUCUUUGAGGUUGCUUAUGAUGUGCCCCUGGACUGCGUCGCCAGGACAUUCGUGAGUUAUUCGACGAAUUGUUUGAACCGAGUCGUCGCCACAUCGUCGUUCCGGGACCAUGACCUGAAUGUCUCGUUGCCCACAAGGCACCAAGGACUUUUGAUGCGGCCGACACCAUGGCCGUCGUUUGCAAAUUUUGUGCCAUCAAAGGUCUGCUAUACUAAUGGUCGCCAUUGGAAUUUCCAGAUGCCUACUUCUGUCCAUGACCUGCAUCCAUGGACGUUCAAGACACAUGCAUAUCUGAUUUCCCAAGUGCAUGGCAAGGGAUUGAGUAGUAGUUACCUUUCUGUGAAUGUGUUACAUAUUGGAGAGCUGGUGUCCAAUACAUGGGGGCGGUGGCUCGCUCUACUUGGAAACUAGAGAUGGGUACGCCCAGGUCAGCUCUUGUGCUUGUGGUUUUUGAAACGGGACAGUGAUGAUUCAGGUUUCAGCACACAGCUCUUUCCUGAAGGUCAAUUUCAGAGCAUGCAUAAAAUGGGUGCUCUAAGCACAGAACAUUCGAGUAGUAUUUUCCUUCGGUUCAUGCAAUCUAGACCAUAUGAACUUGUCUGCUGUGGUGAAAUCAACUAUCCAUUAUUCAGUACACUUGGCUUUUGCAUGGAUAAACAUUCACUCAAUAUUUUUAUGCUGCCUUGUGAGACUUUGCUGGACACGGGAUGUCGCUAUCAGAUGAUGUAUGGCAAAAUCGAUUCAAAAAUGGUGCAACCAUCAGCUAUUCAGCAUGUACAACCAACUUGUUACUUUCCGGUGGGUGUUGUUCGAGCAAAUCUGAAACAGAAGGAAGUCGAUGGUGCUAUGGUUUACAUGUUGGAGCAUACAACUCAUCAGGAUUUGGAGUUACUGCUCCGUUUCCACCAUCCACCUGAUUCAACAAGUACUCGGGAGUUCAUAACUGGCCGAAGCUUUCAUCGGGGCCAAACCUUAUUGGGUAAUUCUCGGAUGGGUGUCUGCUAUUGCGUGCUAAUUCUUAUGGAGGAACCUUUCAAUUGCUUGACUGAUACACAACUGCAGUUUGGGCGUCUAUCGGAUCAGGCAACAUCUGAUGGUAAGCAAUUAAGUCGGGAAUGGAUAGAUUCGAGAACUAAUGGAACGAAUUUUGCGGAAAGUGCUGCUUUUACAGGACUUCUGGAAGUAUAUGUGGGUGCAUGGAGCGGAAUGAAAAUACUUUGCAAGUACAGGAAGAAGAAAUGAUGCACGGCAAGAGAAACACCUUGUGAAAUUGUGAUGUCAGAACAAAUGGAAUGUAUGUUUCCUUGUAUGUCUAUCUCGGGCCACUUAAUGGAGCUACAAUUAAU